rnacentral:rRNA from 1 species
GUCGAACGCUGGCGGCGUGCUUAACACAUGCAAGUCGAACGCUGAAGCUCAGCUUCUGUUGGGUGGAUGAGUGGCGAACGGGUGAGUAACACGUGAGUAACCUGCCCCCUUCUUUGGGAUAACGCCCGGAAACGGGUGCUAAUACUGGAUAUUCACUGGUCUUCGCAUGGGGGUUGGUGGAAAGGGCCUUUCUGGUGUGGGAUGGGCUCGCUUCCGAUCAGCAGGUUGGUGGGGUGAUGGCCUACCAAGGCUUUGACGGGUAGCCGGCCUGAGAGGGUGACCGGACACAAUGGGAGUGCGAUACGGCCCAGACACGUACGAGAGGCGACAGUGGGGAAUAUUGCACGAUGGGCGCAAGCGUGAUGCAGCGACGCUGCAUGAGGGAUGAAGGCCGUCAGGUUGUGAACCUCUUUCGCUAGUGGACAAGCCGAAACAAUGGUUGUGGUGAGGUUAGUGGGUAAAGAAGCACCGGCUAACUACGUG